rnacentral:rRNA from 1 species
AGUGAACGCUGGCGGUAGGCCUAACACAUGCAAGUCGAACGGCAGCACAGUAAGAGCUUGCUCCUACGGGUGGCGAGUGGCGGACGGGUGAGGAAUACAUCGGGAUCUACUUUUUCGUGGGGGAUAACGUAGGGAAACUUACGCUAAUACCGCAUACGACCUACGGGUGAAAGCAGGGGAUCUUCGGACCUUGCGCGAUUGAAUGAGCCGAUGUCGGAUUAGCUAGUUGGCGGGGUAAAGGCCCACCAAGGCGACGAUCCGUAGCUGGUCUGAGAGGAUGAUCAGCCACACUGGAACUGAGACACGGUCCAGACUCCUACGGGAGGCAGCAGUGGGGAAUAUUGGACAAUGGGCGCAAGCCUGAUCCAGCCAUACCGCGUGGGUGAAGAAGGCCUUCGGGUUGUAAAGCCCUUUUGUUGGGAAAGAAAAGCAGCAGGUUAAUACCCCGCUGUUCUGACGGUACCCAAAGAAUAAGCACCGGCUAACUUCGUG